GGCGACGUCCCAGCAGGUGGCUCCGUGCAAGUGCGGCGCCUUCAUCUCCGGCGACGCUGGUGACAUCCUGCUGUUCGAGCUUCCCCCUAUUGAAGUGCACAGCUGCGACCAGAGCCACCCUUGCGAGUCCCGCUGCGUCCAGGAGUUCGAAAUGAUGUCUGGAGGCGGCGACUUGGACUUCGUCACUUCCAACAACGCUACUGUUGGCGAGAUUUUGUGCGGAGGGGCGGGAAUGGCCGUCGCUUCCGAAAACGUGUACGCCUUCUACGAGCUGUGCGACGGCCCCUGGGAGCUGACUCCCGUCACGAGUCAGCAGCCCCUCUGCUGCACCGACGCCGCGGAGUACGUUCCCUGCUGAACGGGAACAGCAGUAUACGUGUAGUGCAACUGCAC